rnacentral:tRNA from 1 species
AAGCUAGGAUUCUAAACUAAACUAUUCUUUGC